rnacentral:snRNA from 1 species
GGAUGUGAGGGCGAUCUAGCUGCAGCAUCUGUCACCCCAUUGAUCACCAGGGUUGAUUUGGCUGAUCUGACUGGCUAGGUGGGUGUCCCCUUCCUCUCUCACCACUCCAUGUGCAUCCCUCCCGAACUUGCACGCUCGGUCGAAGAGGAUGACCUUCCCUGAUAGAGGCAUACCAUUCUUUGGUCAAAGGUAUACAAGUAGCUGCGCUCUCCUGCUAGAACAAGCUCCCCAGGUCCAAUUCAGAAAUCCUACUUUCUAGUGAAUUCUUUAUUUUUUCCAAUUCACAAGUCUUACUUUCCUGAGAUUUUUU